AUUGAACGCUGGCGGCAGGCCUAACACAUGCAAGUCGAGCGGAUGAAGGGAGCUUGCUCCUGGAUUCAGCGGCGGACGAGUGAGUAAUGCCUAGGAAUCUGCCUGGUAGUGGGGGAUAACGUCCGGAAACGGGCGCUAAUACCGCAUACGUCCUGAGGGAGAAAGUGGGGGAUCUUCGGACCUCACGCUAUCAGAUGAGCCUAAGUCGGAUUAGCUAGUUGGUGGGGUAAAGGCCUACCAAGGCGACGAUCCGUAACUGGUCUGAGAGGAUGAUCAGUCACACUGGAACUGAGACACGGUCCAGACUCCUACGGGAGGCAGCAGUGGGGAAUAUUGGACAAUGGGCGAAAGCCUGAUCCAGCCAUGCCGCGUGUGUGAAGAAGGUCUUCGGAUUGUAAAGCACUUUAAGUUGGGAGGAAGGGCAGUAAGUUAAUACCUUGCUGUUUUGACGUUACCAACAGAAUAAGCACCGGCUAACUUCGUG
rnacentral:rRNA from 1 species